rnacentral:rRNA from 1 species
UAGGGAAUCUUCGGCAAUGGGGGGAACCCUGACCGAGCAACGCCGCGUGAGUGAAGAAGGUUUUCGGAUCGUAAAGCUCUGUUGUUAAGGAAGAACGAGUGUGAGAAUGGAAAGUUCAUGCUGUGACGGUACUUAACCAGAAAGGGACGGCUAACUACGUGCCAGCAGCCGCGGUAAUACGUAGGUCCCGAGCGUUGUCCGGAUUUAUUGGGCGUAAAGCGAGCGCAGGCGGUUAGAAAAGUCUGAAGUGAAAGGCAGUGGCUCAACCAUUGUAUGCUUUGGAGACUGUUUAACUUGAGUGCAGAAGGGGAGAGUGGAAUUCCAUGUGUAGCGGUGAAAUGCGUAGAUAUAUGGAGGAACACCGGUGGCGAAAGCGGCUCUCUGGUCUGUAACUGACGCUGAGGCUCGAAAGCGUGGGGAGCGAACAGG